rnacentral:rRNA from 1 species
GUUCUCAGUUCGGAUCGGAGUCUGCAACCCGACUCCGUGAAGCUGGAUUCGCUAGUAAUCGCGCAUCAGCCAUGGCGCGGUGAAUACGUUCCCGGGCCUUGUACACACCGCCGUCAAGCCAUGGAAGCCGGGGGCGCUUGAAGUGCGUUGCCGCAAGGCGCGCCCUAGAGCGAAACCGGUGACUGGGCUAAGUCGUAACAAGGUAUC